AGUAUUAUAUUUUAAUCAUAAAAUAUUAAAUUGCAAAUUUAAAAAUAGGAUAUAAUUUCCUUAAUACUU
rnacentral:tRNA from 1 species